rnacentral:rRNA from 1 species
UACGGAGGGGGCUAGCGUUGUUCGGAAUUACUGGGCGUAAAGCGCGCGUAGGCGGCUUUGUAAGUUAGAGGUGAAAGCCCGGGGCUCAACUCCGGAACUGCCUUUAAGACUGCAUCGCUUGAAUCCGGGAGAGGUGAGUGGAAUUCCGAGUGUAGAGGUGAAAUUCGUAGAUAUUCGGAAGAACACCAGUGGCGAAGGCGGCUCACUGGACCGGUAUUGACGCUGAGGUGCGAAAGCGUGGGGAGCAAACAGG